UAAAUAAUAAAGACAAUAAUAAUAUAAAACACAAUAAUAAUAGAAACCAUUUUAAUUAUUAAAAUAAUCAUAAUGAAACAUAAAUACGGGAAUAUUGAAUUAAUUAGCAUAAUAAAUAAGGAAUAAAAGUAAAAAAAAAAACCCUUCAACAACAUUUUCCUUUCAUUUUCCUCAAAAACCAUUUGAAAAGCUCUCCAAAUUCUCUCGCCCCAUCCAAUUCUUCAGCAACCGAACUAGAGCUUCGUCCCCGUCCGUCGUUUUUCCGCCGUCGUUGGCCACCACGUGUAGUGGCCGAAGUUAAAAAAGUACAAAAAUGAAAUUAUGGCGAACGUGGAGCCAUUGGAGCCGACAUGGGUGAGAGGCGACAUGGGGGAAACCGACGUGGGCGCGCGAACAUGGAGGAUGUGCGUGGGAAGGUUUGCGGCGGCUGCAACAGGAAAGGGUGUUAGGGUUUUUCUUUUCUUUUUGAUUUAGGGUUAAAUAUUUAGGUUUAGGGUUAAUUUAGGGCUUGGGUAAUUUGGGCUUCAAAAUUGGGUUUAUUUUAUUUUUGAUUUGAUUUUGGGUCUAUUUUUGGUCUUUGGGGUUUGUUUUUGGUUUAAAAAUUUGGGCUUUAAUGGUAAAUGGGCCCGGGCAAAAAUUGGUACCCACACAUGUGAUUCAAAAAUCAUUUCAAAGAUAACUCAAUAAAAUAUUGGUGAUUAUAAUUAAAAUCUAAAA